AAUUUUGAGCCCUGAAAUAGCAUAGUUCGUUCACUGCUACAUGUGACAUUUUAAAAACCUGAGCAAACAGUAUUAUUCUUAGGAAAGAAAAGCUCUUUCUCACUAGAUUCAGCAUUUAGAAACAAUAUUGAAUUGAUUUGAAUCAGAAAAUUGUCUCUGAGAACCUGAGAUGAAUAUAAACAUUAGGCAGAUGAUCUCACCUCUCGCUUCCUGCCUUGGUCCUGUUUUGUUUCCUUUGAGUGGUUCUUAAUAUUCAUUCAAAGUGUGCAUGUGUGCAGAUGCAUCCCAAAGCCACAGUGUCCUCCUGCUCUGGUCAGAGCCCAAGCCCACUGUACUCCUUACUGCAGGCGGUGCCAAGCUCUCAUGCCCUGGGUGUAGCCCUUCAGUAAGAAGCCAGAUCUGAUCAGGCACCAGGCACAGCUGUUUCGUGUGUCAAGAUCAUGAGUAUUUUUUUUUUUUACUUCUGUUUCUGCACCUAGCAAACAAACACCAUACUGUUAGAUGUACAGCGCUCUCUGGUCUUGCCCUUCAGGCAGGAUUCUCACAUUCCAUGGAAUGACAAAGGUUCACAUCCCUUUUUGCCCUAGGUGGAAAACAUAAAAGACUAAGAUGCAUCAUUAAUCAUGCAGACUGUCUGCAGCAACGCUGCCAGGAAAAUGAUCAUCCUCGUACCACCCAUCAAUAUCCCUGACACCUGUCUAAGAGCUCAGGUCAUGCAUAUCCAUCUGCCUUUAGAGAAGUGUCAGUGUGCAAACAUUGCUUCACUAUUUUUAGGGUCACGUUAACAUUAUUCAUCACCUACCUGUCAGUUCAUCCAAUUUGUCAUGUUAUUCGGACCUACCGGUGACUGUUACUGGCCAUCUUUUUUUUUUUUUUACGUUGUGGUUUUUAGAGCAUGAGAGCAGAAGAUGUUUGGAAAUUGUCAGAAGUGUGCGAGACAGUAACCGGAGUUUCCCCCAAGGAAUUACUAUGGCUCACGUUUAAGGGAAAAAAAAAAAAAAAUUAGACAUUCGAGGUCCCUGUGGCCUUCCAAAAUUUCUGCUUCUGUCUGAUUUCUUGUCCAGUGAGUUGUAUUUUUAAUCAAUUUUAUUAUAAAGCUCACAGCAUGAUUUCAGGAGGUCAAAUCACAGCUUACAAAUGAAACAAACCUUCAGAAAUUAGGAGGUCAAAGAUUGCUGUCCUAAUAAACAAAACAAGCUGUCAGUUCUGAAUACCUAGAAACAUACUAUACACAAGUUAAAAUUUUAAGUACAAAGGCUGAUAAAUAUUCUGAUGCAGCACCAGGAGCUCAUGAUGGUUUGUCUCAACUGUCACUCAGCACAACAGCCACAACUCCUAAAACAGCUUAGCAAAUACAUUCCGAUCUCUGAGCAGUGAAGGCAUUUCACCAUAGGUGGGAAAAUUCCAGAACUAGGAAUUAACACAUCUGCGCUUCGAGCUGCUGCCCUGCCCAACAGGGACUGUGGGAGCUCUUGCCUUGAUUGAGUCUUAGUUUUUUUACCAGCAAAGUGUAGAUGUCAAAAGAUCUCCAAUAUUUGUUUCAGGAGUCUAUCUUCCUAUUGUUAUGUAAAUUCGUGGCAGAUAUAAAACCACAGAAUGAAAUGUCCUGUUCUUAAAUAAUUGUGACCUUCUCUGAGAUGUGCAUGAAGAUGUUGGAAUCAUGAAAAUAAUCGGAACAAACAGCCCUGUUGCUAGCCUGAGGUCACCAAAGUGAUAAGCUCAAAGCCUAGAAGAGUACCAGCUCUUUUCAGCCACUACCAAGUGGAGUGAGUUUAACUGUGACACCCAGGAAGUAAGCUGGCUAUUUUGUAGCUGUUGAUGUCUAGGACUAGGAAGCAACCGAUACAACAACAGGACCCAAGAGCUACAAAAUCUGCUCAUAAGGAAGAUAAAUGCCUUAAAGAAAGUGUAACUUUGGUAGCUAUUUGUGUUAAUGAGAACAUUAGAGAAUGUUUUAAACCAGUUCUAGCAAUUGAACCCAAGUCUAUGUGUGUCUACAAUUUAGCUACGCCUCUGGACCCUCAUUAAUGAGGAUCUUAUGAGGAUUGUUCAGUUUAUCAUUAAGACUGAAAAUAUUUGCUUUGACUUUAUAAAAAUAAGAAUGUCCAGGAACAGAUGAUGAUGCCUAAGCCUCUUGUUACCUUCAAAUUCAGGAUCUCAUACAACACUAAUAAAUACUUAUACUAAAUCAUAAUUAUGCAGAUGGUUUCUCCAACAAAAAA
ensembl:sense_intronic Gm28320 predicted gene 28320